UUUAGAACUGAUAGAGCUAUCCAGUAUAAAUAAAGUUAGUUUAGUUUAGGUUUCCUCCUGUAGUGACACUGGAUCAAUAAGAGAUGAUCCUUACUGGACCUCUAGGAAGAACAGUUUAGAACUGAUAGAGCUAUCCAGUAUAAAUAAAGUUAGUUUAGUUUAGGUUCCCUCCUGUAGUAACACUGGAUCAAUAAGAGAUGAUCCUUACUGGACCUCUAGGAAGAACAGUUUAGAACUGAUAUAUCCAGUAUAAAUAAAGUUAGUUUAGUUUAGGUUUCCUCCUGUAGUAACACUGGAUCAAUAAGAGAUGAUCCUUACUGGACCUCUAGGAAGAACAGUUUAGAACUGAUAGAGCUAUCCAGUAUAAAUAAAGUUAAUUUAGUUUAAGUUUCCUCCUGUAGUAACACUGGAUCAAUAAGA